GUGUGUGUGUGUGUGUGUGUGUGAUCUGUCAAAUAUACAUUGUAUAUGACUCGUUCUGUAUAUCCUAUAACUUAUUGCAACAACAUACGAUAUUAAAUGAAAAUUUAUAUGUAACCUGAAUUUUUCCUCGCUAUAAAUAAUUUGAUGUCAGAAAAAUUCCGCUGCCAAAUAUAGGAUAUUAUAAAAGCUUACACUUAUGUAAUCUUUUAUACUGUACGUCGAAAAUGCAAUUUCCAAAGAUUAACGUAAGACGGGACGGGACAAUUUUAAUUUUGAUGUAGCCUCACUGCUCCGAGUGAUUUUCACGACUCGCUGGCACCGCUCUAGGAGGUCGCCCGCCCCCUCCGCGGUCCAUGCCCGUAUCUGUUCUUCUUGUCCUGUGGAUUUACAGAGAAUUCCUUAUUUGGCACUGAUUUCUUCGGAAACGCAAGCUUAUUUAAAACAAAAAAACCGGGACAAUUUCAUAAAUUUCACCGCGGAAAUCUCGCCGAAUCUCGCAAGAGUAAUUUUCAAUCAACAAUGUCGGAUCGCGCUGCGGGAGACGUUCGGAGCAGCGUGGCGGUCUCGGAAGGAAAAGGAAAAAGAAACGGAUCAAGAGAAAAAGAAGGAAAAAAACGGGAGAGAGAGAGAGAGAAGAAGAAGGAGAUGCCACGACGAUGAUCAUGAGACUUCCUUGUGAGACCUUCCUCCUUUCACCGCGGCCAAAAUACAUCUAUCUGGUUACAUACACGCUUAUGGGCGUUGUUCUCUAACUUGUGGCGGCGAUGGACCAACUGCGGCACAAGCAACGUUCCUCGUUUCGGAGGGUAAGGAAGGGAGACAGGUAGGACCGGUUAUUCAUGACGCAAUUUGAACUAUCAUUUGGGUCAUCGAGAUUAAAAGCAGCUCAAUCUGUUUACUGACUUCGUAGUAAUCAAAUUCCUCCUCUCAGCAAUCAUCCGAAUGUUUAUACGACGAUCUCCGCGCACAAUUUCAUUGAUUUUAGUCACCGUUUGCGGAGUUAAAACAGAGACAGGUUAACCUGGACGUUGGUCAUCUUCGAUGCUCUCUCGGCCUUCAGAAAACCGUUUAUACCAUUCGAAAACACGCGCACGAGAUAGAGAAUUCUCACUAUAGGCCUCUUUCAACAACUUAUAGCACUCAGUCGGAGUUUUUUUUAAUUUAACAAGAAAUUUCACAUUGAUCCGUUGCUCCUGUUUUUCGUCACACAUUGUUAUCGACACAAGAAAAAAAUACGUUUGUUUCUAACCUUUAUUGAAAAAAUACUACUACAGCGGCAAAAACGUGUUUUUAUACUGGAACUAGGUCAGUAGACACUGACCUAGUUUACGCCGAACACUUGACACGCAUACUAACAAGUAACUUUCUAUUAAAUUGUCUUAAUUUCGACAAUACAUGGAAUGGAAAAAAUGGAAUUUAUGACAUAAAGUAACAGUCCCAAGAAUUGAAGCUGUAUUGCCGUGCGUAAUGACAUAAUUUUAAUUUAAUAAGAUUUUUUUCAAAAAAAAAUAAAGAAAAAAAUAAAUAAGUCUAAAUAAUAUAUAAUGCAGACGUUAUAACUAUUUUUUAUUUUAUAGUUAUAUGUUAGAAAUAUGUUAUUUAUGUAGUACCAAAUAAUUGGUCAAUAAAAAUUGACAUUAUCUAGCUUUUGGUGAAA